AUUUAACGCUGGCGGCAGGCAUAACACAUGCAAGUCGAGCGGAUGAAGGGAGCUUGCUCCUGGAUUCAGCGGCGGACGGGUGAGUAAUGCCUAGGAAUCUGCCUGGUAGUGGGGGAUAACGUCCGGAAACGGGCGCUAAUACGGCAUACGUCCUGAGGGAGAAAGUGGGGGAUCUUCGAACCUCUCGCUAUCAGAUGAGCCUAGGUCGGAUUAGCUAGUUGGUGGGGUAAAGGCCUACCAAGGCGACGAUCCGUAACUGGUCUGAGAGGAUGAUCAGUCACACUGGAACUGAGACACGGUCCAGACUCCUACGGGAGGCAGCAGUGGGGAAUAUUGGACAAUGGGCGAAAGCCUGAACCAGCCAUGCCGCGUGUGUGAAGAAGGUCUUCGGAUUGUAAAGCACAUUAAGUUGGGAGGAAGGGCAGUAAGUUAAUACCUUGCUGUUUUGACGUUACCAUCAGAAUAAGCACCGGCUAACUUCGUG
rnacentral:rRNA from 1 species